GGAUAACGAUCAAGUGCCUGUGGGUGAUGAGUGACCUUCCCUGUGGUGAGGAAGCCUGCAUAGUGGGCACCCAAGUGAAGGAUCCUGCUGUGUACUCAGGGGCUGGUGUUGCUGUCAGGGAUGUUAGCCUAGAGCCUCAGCUUCCUGUAAAAUGAGGAUGAUGAUAUCCAACAGCUUAUGGGACCUUGAAGUCCCAGCAUUUUUCAUCUUUCAAUCUCACCUCCUUUUCCUGAUAAUAGAGAGGCAACAAGAACUCAGGGCAUGCAAUGGGGCUCAACUUCUACUCUCUGCCACAAUUUCAUCAUGAUUCCCCCAAAGAGCAGAGCCCCAGGAGCCAGCAGGGGGCAGGGUGGGCAUUUCUGGACUGGAUUCAUUCAUAAUAAGAUCAAAAUUUCCAAUCCGUAUGUCUCGGGUGCCAUCUGCUGAUAGAUCGGACCAGAUG